AGUGAACGCUGGCGGUAGGCCUAACACAUGCAAGUCGAACGGCAGCACAGUAAUAUCUUUCUCUUACGUUUUUCGAGUUGCGUACUGGUGAUUUAUACAUCGUAAUCUACUUUUUCUUGUGUGUUAACGUAGGUAAACUUACGCUAAUACCUCAUACGACCUACGUGUUUAAUCAUUGUAUCUUCUGACCUUGCUCGAUUGUAUUAGCCGAUGUCGGAUUAGCUAGUUGGCGGGGUAAAGGCCCACCAAGGCGACGAUCCGUAGCUGGUCUGAGAGGAUGAUCAGACACACUGGAACUGAGACACGGAAAAGAAGCCUACGGGAGGCAGCAGAGGGGAAUAUGGGACAAUGGGCGAAAGAAUGAUACAGAAAUACCGAGUGGGGGAAGAAGGCAUGAGGGUUGGAAAGCCAUUUUGUUGGGAAAGAAAAGAAGAAGGUUAAUACAAAGAUGUAAUGACGGUAAAAAAAGAAUAAGCACCGGCUAACUUCGUG
rnacentral:rRNA from 1 species